rnacentral:rRNA from 1 species
UAGGGAAUCUUCGGCAAUGGACGAAAGUCUGACCGAGCAACGCCGCGUGAGUGAAGAAGGUUUUCGGAUCGUAAAACUCUGUUGUUAGAGAAGAACAAGGACGUUAGUAACUGAACGUCCCCUGACGGUAUCUAACCAGAAAGCCACGGCUAACUACGUGCCAGCAGCCGCGGUAAUACGUAGGUGGCAAGCGUUGUCCGGAUUUAUUGGGCGUAAAGCGAGCGCAGGCGGUUUCUUAAGUCUGAUGUGAAAGCCCCCGGCUCAACCGGGGAGGGUCAUUGGAAACUGGGAGACUUGAGUGCAGAAGAGGAGAGUGGAAUUCCAUGUGUAGCGGUGAAAUGCGUAGCUAUAUGGACGAACACCAGUGGCGAAGGCGGCUCUCUGGUCUGUCACUGACGCUGCGGCUCGCAAGCGUGGGGAGCAAACAGG